rnacentral:lncRNA from 10 species
CCUGAGGCCCCAGAACUAUCUUUUUCAAUUGUGAACUGAAGGCCAACAAAGAUGAUCACUUUAAGGUGGAUAAUGAUGAAAAUGAGCACCAGUUAUCUUGAAGAACGGUCAGUUUAGGGGCUGGUGCGAAGGAUAAGUUGCACAUUGUUGAAGCAGAGACAAUGAAUUAUGAAGGCAAUCCAACUAAGGUAACACUGGCAACUUUGAAAAUGUCUGUACAGCCAACAGUUUCCCUUGGGGGCUUUGAAAUCACACUACCAGUGGUCUUAUAAUUGAAGCGUUGUUCAGGAUCAGUGCAUAUUACUGGACAGCACUGACUAGUUGUGGAGGAAGAUGCAGAGUCAGAAGAUGAAGAGGAGGAGGAUGUGAAACUCUUAAGUGUACCUGGAAGGCGAUCUGCCCCUGGAGGUGGUAGCAAGCUUCCACAGAGAAAAGUAAAACUUGCUGCUGAUGAAUAAGAUGAUGAUGAUAAUGCCGAAGAUGAUGAUGAUGGUGAUUUUGAUGAUGAGAAAACUGAAGAAAAAGCUGCAGUGAAGAAAUCUAUAGGAGAUACUCCAGCCAAAAAUGCACAAAAGUCAAACUAGAAUGGAAAAGACUCAAAGCCUUUUGAGUCAACACCAAGAUCAAAAGGACAAAAAUCAACACCAAGAUCAAAAGGACAAGAAUCCUUCAAAAAACAGGAAAAAACUCCUGAAACACAUAAAGGACAUAGUUCUGUAGAAAACAAAGCAAAAAUGCAAGUAUAGAAAAAGGUGGUUCUCUUCUCAAAGUGGAAGCCAAGUUCAUCAAUUAUGUGAAGAAUUGCUUGUGGAUGACUGACCAGGAGGCUAUUCAAGAUCUCUGGCACUGGAGGAAGUCUCUUUAA